GAUGAACGCUGGCGGCGUGCCUAAUACAUGCAAGUCGAGCGAACAGACGAGGAGCUUGCUCCUCUGACGUUAGCGGCGGACGGGUGAGUAACACGUGGAUAACCUACCUAUAAGACUGGGAUAACUUCGGGAAACCGGAGCUAAUACCGGAUAAUAUAUUGAACCGCAUGGUUCAAUAGUGAAAGACGGUUUUGCUGUCACUUCUAGAUGGAUCCGCGCCGCAUUAGCUAGUUGGUAAGGUAACGGCUUACCAAGGCAACGAUGCGUAGCCGACCUGAGAGGGUGAUCGGCCACACUGGAACUGAGACACGGUCCAGGCUCCUACGGGAGGCAGCAGUAGGGAAUCUUCCGCAAUGGGCGAAAGCCUGACGGAGCAACGCCGCGUGAGUGAUGAAGGUCUUCGGAUCGUAAGACUCUGUUAUUAGGGAAGAACAAAUGUGUAAGUAACUAUGCACGUCUUGACGGUACCUGAUCAGAAAGCCGCGGCUAACUACGUG
rnacentral:rRNA from 1 species